GAUGAACGCUGGCGGCGUGCUUAAUACAUGCAAGUCGAGCGAAGCACUUUAACGGAAUUCUCCGGAAGGAAGGUAAAGUGACUGAGUGGCGGACGGGUGAGUAACACGUAGGUAACCUGCCCCGGAGCGGGGGAUAACAUUUGGAAACAGAUGCUAAUACCGCAUAACAACAAAAACCACAUGGCUUUUGUUUGAAAGAUGGCUUUGGCUAUCACUCUGGGAUGGACCUGCGGUGCAUUAGCUAGUUGGUAAGGUAACGGCUUACCAAGGCAAUGAUGCAUAGCCGAGUUGAGAGACUGAUCGGCCACAUUGGGACUGAGACACGGCCCAA
rnacentral:rRNA from 1 species